UCGAAAGGACAAAGCAUAGGGAUCCUACGACGAAGGAUUAAUCAGAAAGGGGAAGAAAUAAGACGAUUAGAACCAAGAACGUAGUCGGAAAUGCAUUGAUUUGAUGGGGUGAAGAAAGGGAUACAUGUAAUAUUAUUAUUAACUAUCUCUCUCACACUCUUGAUGAUGCAACGGAUCUGAAAUUAGAAAUCUUUGAAUCUUCCAUCUUGCAUCAGAAUGCAUAAACGCCAAGAUCUAAGAUUUGUUGAUUUUGAAAGAAUUUGGGAAGAUAAUGAAGCAGAUGAUACAAAGGAGAGAGAGAUGAUGACGCCUGUGUAAGAGAUGAUUCCGGAGGAGAUGAGUCCUAAUAUAAUAAUCACCCAGUCUCCUCAAGAGCUUCACUAUUCAUUUCAACAUUUGCUUGUUCUGUGAUUGAGCCUCUCGGCAGAAAAUCGUAGGUGAAAAAAAAUGGAAAAGGAGCGAAGAUGAUCAAGUGUCCAAAAAGACGAGUCAUGUCUUUUAAGGUUAUCAAGAGUGUUAGCUGAGGUUGAACAUAAAUUUGGAUGUUCUGCUCCCUUUUUUCUUGGGAUAUCUCAGAACAGCCUUGCAUCUUUCUAUUUUAUUCUUUGUGUGAAUGUUUGCAGAGAGGAAGAGAAGAUAGCAGCUUGGAAACAUAUGCACAAGGUUUGGGACAGUUGUGAGGAUGAAAGUAGAACCUGCCAUUAGAAAACUCGGGGUCCUCCGAUCCUUCACUUAUAUGAAAACUCACAAAAACCAAUCAAACCAUGAUGCUUCUAUUGAAAUUUCUUUUUGCUUGAAUCGCAAGUGAAGCUGGAGAAAAAGAAAUGAGCAUCACUGGAAAAGAUCUUGUACAAGAUUCAAACAACCAAGUUGAAAGCAUAAGAGAUCAGGAGUUCAGUAUUCAGUGAUCAUGAACAAGAAAAAAAAGUUUUGACUAUAGAUCCCUGCAAUAAAACAGUAGCGCAACCGCUGUUGAAAAAACUUUCGACGAAUCAGCUGUUCUUGCCGCAAAGUAUCAAUACCACCAAAGGUCUUCAGGGUAAGUCUGUGCGAGAGUUUGUGAGCUUCAGAGGUGAAAGCAUCAAUGGAGAGAAAGCUUUUUAUAUUUAUCGUGUAUCCUUUAUCACAAUGCUUAUACAUUAUGUUUUCUUCCAUCUCAAUAGCGACAACCCAAAAAGUUGAGAUA